UCUGAAGACAAUGCUUAAGUAUCCUUAGCAGGAAGCUGGCAUCUUCCAGAAAGAAGUGACUUUAAGUAAGGAGACGCAUCAGAUACAGCUCAUGGCACAGAGCCUGCCACAGAGCGAGCUGAGUCAAGGGCUCAGCUCACGGCAGGGACCUGGCCCGGAACAGAGCUCAGUACCCGGUAGGUGCCCGAGAGAGAAGUCAGUGUCCAGAACCCAGCGAAGGAUCUGGGGCUGCGAGGGCACUUGGACCCGGCGGAGCUGUCAGAUCAUACCUGGGCAUCCCAUCUCACCCCUCCCCAGACCUGAGAGCUGGAUGCCCUCCCGACCUCACCCUCAUACAGAGGUGGAAACAUGGCGCCCAGAGAGGAAGCAGAGAGAAAUAGCAACCUUGCCCAAGGUCCAACAGCCAGGAAAUGGCGAAGAAGGGAGAGGAACUCAGGCCACUGGCUCCAAAGCCCAGCCACCCUCAACCACAUAUUGUCCCAUGUGACUGGGCUUCUCCCAUCCAUGGCGCUGAGUGCGUGUGUUUGUGAGUUCACAGAGGACGGUUCUCAUGACCCACUGCCACUAAGCCCUGGCUUGUUUCAAGCACUCCCAGUGGCAGGGAGUGAAUUGUCCUGGGGAGAUGGAGAAAGAUACUAGCCAGCCCUGCAGUCCGUCUAGUUGGCCGAAAGGUGCCUAGUUGUUCCUGCAAAGGAGAUGUUCCUUUAACCCAUCUUUUGAAAAACAAAAAAACAAAACCCUUUCAGGAAUUACGUGAAAACUAUUUCACGUGUUUUUUUCGGAAAAAAAAAAAAAAGCUUUAAAAAUCCCACUUUCUCUGUAGUAACAUGAUCAAGAGGAAUAUCAAACAAUGUUCACAGGGGCUACAUUAAUUGAAUGACAAAACAUCAAAAUCCUUCAUCUGACUUAUCUCCGCAGUCCGAUGGUGGGAGGGCUGCGUACGAUGCCCCGGAAGCCUUGCCUAAAGGGGAAAUUGCCAUGAAAUCACACACCCCGUGGCCAUCGGCCAC
rnacentral:lncRNA from 1 species